rnacentral:rRNA from 1 species
GAUGAACGCUGCGGCGUGCCUAAUACAUGCAAGUCGAGCGAACGGACGAGAAGCUUGCUUUUCUGAUGUUAGCGGCGGACAGGUGAGUAACACGUGGAUAACCUACCUAUAAGACUGGGAUAACUUCGGGAAACCGGAGCUAAUACCGGAUAAUAUUUUGAACCGCAUGGUUCAAAAGUGAAAGACGGUCUUGCUGUCACUUAUAGAUGGAUCCGCGCUGCAUUAGCUAGUUGGUAAGGUAACGGCUUACCAAGGCAACGAUGCAUAGCCGACCUGAGAGGGUGAUCGGCCACACUGGAACUGAGACACGGUCCAGACUCCUACGGGAGGCAGCAGUAGGGAAUCUUCCGCAAUGGGCGAAAGCCUGACGGAGCAACGCCGCGUGAGUGAUGAAGGUCUUCGGAUCGUAAAACUCUGUUAUUAGGGAAGAACAUAUGUGUAAGUAACUGUGCACAUCUUGACGGUACCUAAUCAGAAAGCCACGGCUAACUACGUG